rnacentral:rRNA from 1 species
GUCUACAGCCAUACCAGCCUGAACAAGCCCGAUCUCCUCUGAUCUCAGAAGCUAAGCAGGGUUGGGCCUGGUUAGUACUUGGAUGGGAGAAAAAAACUAUGAACUUCUGAUA